GCUAGAGUGUCAGCUAAGUGGCGCACGGGUGAGUAAUGUAUAGCUAACAUGCCCCUUAGAGGGGGAUAACAGUUGGAAACGACUGCUAAUACCCCAUAUGCCUCUAAUACAAAAGUAUGCGAGGGAAAGGAUUUUUCGCUAAGGGAUUGGGCUAUAUCGUAUCAGCUAGUUGGUGAGGUAAAGGCUCACCAAGGCUAUGACGCGUAGCUGGUCUGAGAGGAUGAUCAGCCACACUGGAACUGAGACACGGUCCAGACUCCUACGGGAGGCAGCAGUGAGGAAUAUUGCACAAUGGGGGAAACCCUGAUGCAGCAACGCCGCGUGGAGGAUGACGCAUUUCGGUGUGUAAACUCCUUUUAUUAGGGAAGAUGAUGACGGUACCUAAUGAAUAAG
rnacentral:rRNA from 1 species